rnacentral:misc_RNA from 1 species
GAGAGAGAGAGAGAGAGAGGGUGCGAAAGCUCCGGCCAGCUAAAAAUCGGACUGACCCAGUUCCCCUCAUCACCGGCGAUAUAGCCGUUAAUUUUCCCCGACGCUAGAAAGAUAUCCGGUGAGGAAACUUCGCGAGUUAGUAGAGGAAACGAAGAGAGAGAUAGAGAUAGAGAACCCGAAGCUUCUUCCUCUUUUUCUGGCCCAUAUCAGGCAACCGACUAGGCCGCAGAUAUCUCUUCCAUACCACCACGACAUCCUUCACCGACGAUUUUACCUGAGACCACACGAAAGAGACGAUCGGAGCACCUCAUUCCGCGUCUCCCCUUCCGCGAUCCGCCCAAACCAGAAAUCCGUCAAGCACGUGAUAGCCACCGUUAAACUAACCAGCAAGAGAACUAGCACCAGCUAUCCUCCAUCGACUUUCCGGUGCGUAAUCGGCGACGAUUCGUCGGAUCUCUGGUGACGGCAGAAGUGAGGCAGCAACUUCACAACGUUUUGUUCAUUUUUUUCCUGGCAAUUAAACUUAGAAAUUUUUCAGUAGCGAUCUUGAACCUGGCAGUGGAGGCCUUUUUUAGAUUGUAAUAAAAAGGCACCUGCGAAUUACUUGACUGGCAAGAAGCAGAGGGCGGAGUAGUAGAAGUUUCUAUUCUUUUCUUUAACUUCUGGAAGAUAGGUAUCUCCUGGAUUCUGCUGUAUUCUUCUAAAUAUUUGACUAUCACAGCCUCUGUCCUCUAAAUACCUUCCCUGCCUUUCAAGUUUCCUUUCUAUUCUGCCCUUGGUCUUGGAUUCUCCAUUUCCUCAUCUUUGCUAGGGAGACUAAUACUUGUAUUUAAGCCCCCUAGAGAGAUCUAUAAUCCAUUGGGUUAGUUGUGCUUAACAUGCUUUUAUAAAUUGACAAUCUGGUGAAGGGUGGAAGAUGGAUGUUUAUUCUGAGGAGGAAAAAAACAGAGGAUUACCUUUUCAAAAUUGUCUUAAUUGGGGAUUCAGCUGUGGGAAAAUCCAAUUUGCUUGCAAGAUUUGCUAGGGAUGAAUUCUAUCCUAACUCAAAGUCGACUAUUGGAGUAGAGUUCCAAACCCAAAAGAUGAAUAUUAAUGGGAAGGAAGUUAAAGCACAGAUCUGGGAUACAGCAGGACAGGAACGCUUCAGGGCAGUUACAUCUGCAUAUUACAGAGGUGCAGUGGGAGCUCUCCUGGUCUAUGACAUAAGUAGGCGCCAGACAUUUGAUAGUGUUGGCAAGUGGCUUAAUGAGCUUCACAGUAAGAUUGAUCACAAUUUUGUUGAAUAUUUGAAUAUUUUUCUUUUUUUUUCCCUUUCCCUUUCAUCUUGGUGUUUUUCCUUUUCGUUGAAUCUUUCCGAAGAUUGCAUGGUCUUACAAUUAUAGUUCAGUUAUGUAAUUAAUCUGCAAAAAAUGUGGCACAUGGAGGAACUUUGCUUGCCAGCAGGGAAUUUUAUACAGACUAAAUGCCCAAUUGGUGAAUCAGAUAUUGAAUGACCCCCCUUUUUAUCUUCAUUUUUCUAAACUUUUGAAAUGCUGUUUGAAGUUUGAACAGGGAAAUUACUUUGUUUCUGCUUGAGCUCCUUGCGUAGUGUUUUAUGGGCCAGCAUUAGGAGAAUUUUGACAAGUAAUUUUAUUUCUACGAUGCAUGUUGACUUCGUCUUAGAAUGGAUUUUGCAUUGAUCAUUUGAAAGAAGUCUAAAAAUAUUUUAGAACAUUUAUAAUUAGGCUAAAUUUGUGGACAAUGUUUUGAAACUUGAAAGUAAGACUGCCAUGUACAGUUAAUUUUUAUUAGAUGAUGUGGUGCAUGGUAAUGACCCUCAAAAAGCUGUUGGUAAUGAUAUGCUGUAGAUUUUAAGAUUGAAUUAUUGCUAUGGUAAUAUCAUUCCCUAGAUACCUUUCUGCACCUUGUUGAUAUGGCAUUUUUAUUUGAUUGAAAAUUGUGGGAAAUUGUUUAAUUUUGGUGUUUGCUUUGUUUCACCAUUUCCUUUUAAUUUAUUGGUUUGAUAUAGCACUUGAUGCCUACAAGAAAACUUUCUAUUCAUCCUCCCCUAGUGUGAUAAACAGAGAGUUGAUUUUUGUUGUUCCUGGAUUGGACAGCUCACUCUGACAUGAAUGUAGUAACUAUACUUAUUGGCAACAAAACUGAUCUGAAGGAUGCCAGAGAGGUAUCCACAGAUGAAGGCAAGGACUUGGCAGAGGCACAGGGUUUGUUUUUCAUGGAAACUUCAGCUCUUGAUUCCUCCAAUGUAACUGCUGCAUUUCAGACAGUUGUUAGAGAGAUUUACAAUAUAUUAAGCCGGAAGGUUAUGUCUAAUGAAUUUAAACAAGAUGCUCGCUCGAUGGGAAAUGGGAAGACUGUGGUUUUGCAAGGAGAUGAUCCAAACCUAGAAGGUAAUAAUCCAGACCCUAAAAAUGGAGGAGGAUGUUGUUAGUCUUAAAGCCACAGGACUGUGAAUUUCACUCUCAUGUUACCCAUGUUUCUUCUUCUCCAUUGGUUCAUUUUCUUGAUUUGUCUAAAUGUUUAAUUAGUAGCAUGCCUGACUCGUUCUGAGUUCAUGAUGGCUGAAGGAGAUAAAUUGAAGGAGUAGCACGUUUAACUGACUGGAUGGGGAUUUAAAAUUAGUACACGGUGACAUGGGGUUAAGAUUAAUCAUCCUGUAUCAUUUCGUGGAAAGCCAUAUGUUUUCUGAACUCAUCUUUGGUAAACUUUACGGGUGACCGUAUGUUACUGUUAAAAGGCAUUGUCUUUUUCCUUUUGUAGAUCUUCGAUUUGCAAAUUGUGUAGUUAAUGGAAGUAAUUUCCUUUGUUUUUUUUAAAUUUUUUUUGAGGACCAGAAAUUUCUUAUCUCGACUGAAUUUGUAUUUGUUGAUAUCAUUUGCCCUUGACAAGAAUGCUCGCAUCUUUUAUGGAAAAUUAUAUUAUGAAACUGUAA